CGCCUAAAAUAAAAAGUAAAACGACAUCGAUAAUAGCCCUUCAGAUUUCUUCUACUAUCAAUCUAUCGCACUCUAAUGGGCGACCGCGACGCCUAUCGUGACCGCGAGAGAGAUCGAGAUCGAGAUCGAGAGAGAGACACCAGAAAACGCGACCGUGACCGUGAGCGCGACCGAGACCGUAGCAAACGCUCGCACACGCCGGACCGGGCCAGAUCGCGCCACGCCCGGUCGAGAACUCGCUCGCCGGACCGGUGGCGAAGCCGCUCCCGCUCUCCCGACCGGCACAGGUCUCGCCGCCAUCGCUCUCCCUCCCCGGACCACUCACGGAAGCGACAGAAGCGCGGAGAGAGCAGUGAGAGAGACCGCCGGAGAGACUCAUCCUCCGCCGCCGCCGCCGUGUCGGAGUUUGUGGACGGGAUAGUAAAGGAGAAGAAGGAGAAGAAGGGAGAGAGUGUGGAACCGGAGAUGGAUAAGGAUGAAGCUGAGAUGAUGAAGAUGAUGGGGAUACCGGUAGGUUUCGAUUCGACGAAAGGGAAGCAUGUGGAUGGCAAUGAUGUUAGCGGUAUUAGAGCUGUUACGAAGCGGAUGCCGAGACAGUAUAUGAAUCGUCGUGGCGGGUUUAAUCGUCCCUUGCCUGCUGAAAGGAAUCGUUGAGUUUUACUUAGGCCUAAGGUUCCUACUUAUUGAAGGUGGAUAGUUCCACUGUUACUCAAAUGCUGAUGCAGUGAAUGUGUUUGAACUUAUAAAUUUAUUAGGAGUAAUCUGAAAGAGGGGAGCUGGGGGGUUGGGGGUGCUGUAGAUAAGAUGGAACAUGGAAUCAGGCUAAUGAAUCAAAUCAAUUAGGGAAUGAGCAGCGGCUUGGUAUUGGCGGAAGUGAAUUUUGUAAAACACCUUUUGUAUUCUUUGAAUAGAUGUAUUGUACCUGAAUCGGUUAUUACUGCUAGUCAAGAUAGUAGUCAGCUUCGCCAGUCUGUUGUAACAUACAAAAUCGGUCUUCACAUUGUAUUUCAUGAAUUACUCAGUAAGCCCUUCUCAACAA